rnacentral:rRNA from 1 species
AUUGAACGCUGGCGGCAGGCCUAAUACAUGCAAGUCGAGCGGUUGACGGGAGCUUGCUCCCUGAUUCAGCGGCGGACGGGUGAGUAUGCCUAGGAAUCUGCCUAUUAGUGGGGGACAACGUUUCGAAAGGAACGCUAAUACCGCAUACGUCCUACGGGAGAAAGCAGGGGACCUUCGGGCCUUGCGCUAAUAGAUGAGCCUAGGUCGGAUUAGCUUGUUGGUGAGGUAAUGGCUCACCAAGGCGACGAUCCGUAACUGGUCUGAGAGGAUGAUCAGUCACACUGGAACUGAGACACGGUCCAGACUCCUACGGGAGGCAGCAGUGGGGAAUAUUAGACAAUGGGCGAAAGCCUGAUCCAGCCAUGCCGCGUGUGUGAAGAAGGUCUUCGGAUUGUAAAGCACUUUAAGUUGGGAGGAAGGGUUGUAGAUUAAUACUCUGCAAUUUUGACGUUACCGACAGAAUAAGCACCGGCUAACUCUGUGCCAGCCGCCGCAGUAAUAC